AAAGUCGUAACAAGGUUUCCGUAGGUGAACCUGCGGAAGGAUCAUUAAAUGAUAGACUGCCUACGCAAGUAUGCAUUUCUAUAAACCACUCUGCGUUCAUGUCCACGUUGCUUCCGCGAGGCAGUCCACCUCUGUGGCCGUCGACCUCGCACGUGCUGAGAAGCGCGCUGUUGGGUGUUGGGCGAGUCUUCGCGGGAGGUAGAAACAAAACCAUUUUAUUACCCUGUGUCAUUGUCUGAACCUGUCCAUAAAUAAGGAACAAAACUUUCAACAACGGAUCUCUUGGUUCUC
rnacentral:misc_RNA from 1 species